UACGUAGGGUGCGAGCGUUGCCCGGAUUUAUUGGGCGUAAAGGGCGCGUAGGCGGCCACGCACGUCCGUUGUGAAAUCGCCCGGCUCAACUGGGCGGGGUCAGCGGAUACGGUGUGGCUCGAGCAAGCUAGGGGGCAAUGGAAUUCCCGGUGUAGUGGUGGAAUGCGUAGAUAUCGGGAGGAACACCAAUGGCGAAGGCAGCUCGCUGGGACGUGACUGACGCGUGAGACGGCGAAAGCGUGGGGAGCAAACA
rnacentral:rRNA from 1 species